CCAAGAUACGCCAGAAAGUAUAGUUUGACAACACUGUGCCAUGACAUAGUGACUUUAGUACAGAGCUCUGUGCCGUGAGAUGGUGACUUUAAUACACAGCUCUGGGCCGUGACAUGGUGACUUUAAUACACAGCUCUGGGCCGUGACAUGGUGACCUUAGUACAGAGCUCUGUGCCAUGACAUAGUGACGUUAGUAGACAGCUCUGUGCCGUGACAUGGUGACUUUAAUACACAGCUCUGGGCCAUGACAUGGUGACCUUAGUACAGAG